rnacentral:rRNA from 1 species
UACCUACGGGGGGCAGCAGUAGGGAAUCUUCCACAAUGGACGAAAGUCUGAUGGAGCAACGCCGCGUGAGUGAAGAAGGGUUUCGGCUCGUCAAGCUCUGUUGGUAGUGGAGAAAGAUAGAGGUAGUAACUGGCCUUUAUUUGACGGUAAUUACUUAGAAAGUCACGGCUAACUACUUGCCAGCAGCCGCGGUAAUACGUAGGUGGCAAGCGGUGUUCGGAUUUAUUGGGCGU